GGCUCAGAUUGAACGCUGGCGGCAGGCCUAACACAUGCAAGUCGAGCGGUAGAGAGAAGCUUGCUUCUCUUGAGAGCGGCGGACGGGUGAGUAAUGCCUAGGAAUCUGCCUGGUAGUGGGGGAUAACGUUCGGAAACGGACGCUAAUACCGCAUACGUCCUACGGGAGAAAGCAGGGGACCUUCGGGCCUUGCGCUAUCAGAUGAGCCUAGGUCGGAUUAGCUAGUUGGUGAGGUAAUGGCUCACCAAGGCGACGAUCCGUAACUGGUCUGAGAGGAUGAUCAGUCACACUGGAACUGAGACACGGUCCAGACUCCUACGGGAGGCAGCAGUGGGGAAUAUUGGACAAUGGGCGAAAGCCUGAUCCAGCCAUGCCGCGUGUGUGAAGAAGGUCUUCGGAUUGUAAAGCACUUUAAGUUGGGAGGAAGGGUUGUA
rnacentral:rRNA from 1 species